rnacentral:lncRNA from 1 species
CCUGAGUAGUCUCUCUGCAGCCUCUUCUGCUCCCCACAGCCAUCUGCCGUCGGGUCGCUCCCGAGGGCUAUGAGGAUUACUACUUCCCCUUGGAGGAGGAGAACCGGCUCCGCUGUGUCACCAACUGCACGUCAGACGUGGAAGGCGCCAUCAACUGUAACCAGGGCCAGUGCUUUGUGCAGAAGACUGGUCCUGAGUGCCGGUCCUGGGACUACGACAAGAAAUGGUUUGAGAUUUGGGAUGAGGACACCGCAGGGACUUUUUCCAACUCGGGCUUCCAGGAUGACCAACCUUUCAAGGAUGAAAAUUUCCAGGUGGCCUUGGAGAUGGUGGACACCAAUGUGAGGGUGCACACCCAGAGACCUGAGGUGGACUUGUCCUCGAUGUGAGCCCUGCCCUACCCUGUCCACCUGCCCUGGACAGCGGGAAGGAAGCAUCUGCUCUGCAUCCAUUUCAAGAGAUGGCCAAGGACUCGUGCAGCUCAGCCUCCUGGAAUCCUGGGCAAAAUCAGACUGUCCCCAGACCGGCACCCUCUCAACUUGGAUGAAACCCACCUGCAAACCCAGGUCAAAUCCAGGAUCUUCCACUGUGGGACCUUGGGCAGCUCAGUAGCUUCUCUGAACUUGUGAAAUGCCUAUAGCAUACUUGUCCUGAUACCUUGAACAGUCAUUGUGCAAACCAGAUGUGGUCACUCAGACCUCUGUCCCAAUGCACCUUCCUGUGUCAGCCCUCAUCUUAUGUGGCCUCUCUCAGAUCCCCAGUCCCCACAUCCUUUGCCCAUCUCAGGCCUCAGUCUCUAGUUCCCUGUGCGCAUCCCUACCACCUGCCCCCCAACACCUGUCACCAGCCUUCAACCCAUCCCUGCCUCCUACCCUCUGCUAAAGUGACUCUCUACGGCGCCCCUUCCCCCAUUCCUUAUAUCUUCUCCCCCUCUAAACCCACUUCUUAAUCACGCCCCUCCCCUAUCCAGCUCCCAGCCCUACAUCUCUCCCCAUUUAUGUUUUCUGCCCUUACCCAUCCUUGUUCCUUCCACCCUAAAUCCUUAACCCCCAUCCCAGCAUCCCAGUCCUAAGUCCUUCCCUGCCCCACCCCUGUCCCUGUGCGCACUGCCACUUAGGACCCCUAGCUGGUACUCCCCAGGCCCUAGUUCCCCCUUCUGAGGCUCCAUCCCUUCCUCUCCCACAAGGGCCCUGGAUGCCCGUGGGUGGGGGUGGGAUGUGGGGUGUGGGUUUCCAGGUCCUCCAGGAUGAGGGGAAGUGGGACCCUGAGGUGAGGAAGCUCCCUCAGCCCCCUUCUCCUUUCCUAACUCCAUCCCCUCCCUUACUGCCUCACCUCUCUUUCCCACCCCCUUGCCAGCUCCUCCUCUCCCUUCCUCUCCUGGGUCUCACCCCAUCCCUGCAGUAGCCUCUCAGCCCAGAAGCCCACAGCCUCCUUCGCAGGAAGGUCUCAUUUGGGGACAGGAAUUCUGCAAUCCUCCAAUUCUCCCAUGUGAACACAAUAUAGCAUUUAUUGUAAACAA